GAGGCGCUUCCAGGUGACAACGUCGGGUUCAACGUGAAGAAUGUUGCUGUCAAGGAUCUCAAGCGUGGGUAUGUUGCAUCCAACUCCAAGGAUGAUCCUGCCAAGGGUGCUGCUAACUUCACCUCCCAGGUUAUCAUCAUGAACCACCCUGGGCAGAUUGGUAACGGUUACGCCCCGGUUCUUGAUUGCCACACGUCCCACAUUGCGGUGAAGUUCUCUGAGAUCCUCACCAAGAUCGACAGGCGUUCUGGUAAGGAGAUUGAGAAGGAGCCCAAGUUUUUGAAGAAUGGUGAUGCUGGUAUGGUGAAGAUGACUCCGACCAAGCCCAUGGUUGUUGAGACCUUCUCUGAGUACCCACCACUUGGACGUUUCGCUGUGAGGGACAUGAGGCAGACUGUUGCAGUCGGUGUCAUCAAGAGCGUGGACAAGAAGGAUCCUACCGGAGCCAAGGUGACCAAGGCUGCCGUCAAGAAGGGUGCGAAGUAAAGUUCGGUCAUCAAGUCUCUAUCAUCCGCAGAUGAAUCCAAUUCCUAUUUUAGUUUUC
rnacentral:lncRNA from 1 species